ACCGCAUUAAUUAGAGUAGUUAACGAGUUGUUAAUGUCUUCUGAUAAUGGAUGUGUCUCUUUUCUUGUUCUAUUAGAUCUUAGUGCAGCGUUUGAUACGGUCGAUCAUAACAUUUUACUGGAGAGGCUAGAAAAUACAGGCAUUCUGAUGGAAACCUGUUUACCCGCCGAGGUUAAGGAUUAAAGUCGAGACUGCCGGGACAACGAUGCUGCUCCUGUCAGAUGUGACGGGUCUGGAGUAAUUGCAACGACAAGAAAUCACUACAGACUUUAUUGAAGACUAGAGCGGAUAACAACUCUAUUAUUAUUUAAUUGUUUAUUUAUCUAUUUAUUACCACUGUAUGACUUUUAGAUCAUUCAAUUCUGUGUUUGUAUGAUUUGUGUAAAUCGUGUAUUUAUUUAAAGUAUCCUCCAGACCACCCAAGAAGGAUGGGCCCUGUUGAGUCUGGUUCCUCUCAAGGUUUCUUCCUGUAAUUUUCAGGGAGUUUUUCCUUGCCACAGUCGCCCUCGGCUUGCUCAACAGGGGUUUUUGUAUCUGUUGGUCCUGGAUUUUGUAAAGUUGCUUUGAGACAAUGUAUAUUGUAAAAAGCGCUAUAUAAAUAAAGUUGACUUGACUUGA